GAGACCUGUACCCUCUAUUGCUAACGACCACAUGUGGGAUCGAGCACUUUGAGGGGACUGCCCAGGAAACAGGGAGGAAGGUGCAGGCUACGGUAGGUCUGUAUGCUCCGAAUGGUCUAGGCUACACGCGCGCAACAAUGAUUGGGACAAUGGGACGCAACUCCGAAAGGAGAAGCUAAGCCUCUAAACCAUAUCCCAGUCCAGAUCGUGGUUUGUAACUCAGCCACGUGACGUUGGAAUCCCUAGUAACCAGACGUUAGCAUCGUCCGGUGAAUAU
rnacentral:rRNA from 1 species